UGGGGAAUUUUGGACAAUGGGCGCAAGCCUGAUCCGGCCAUGCCGCGUGCGGGAAGAAGGCCUUCGGGUUGUAAACCGCUUUUGUCAGGGAAGAAAUCCUUUGAGCUAAUACCUCGGGGGGAUGACGGUACCUGAAGAAUAAGCACCGGCUAACUACGUGCCAGCAGCCGCGGUAAUACGUAGGGUGCGAGCGUUAAUCGGAAUUACUGGGCGUAAAGCGUGCGCAGGCGGUUAUAUAAGACAGAUGUGAAAUCCCCGGGCUCAACCUGGGACCUGCAUUUGUGACUGUAUAGCUAGAGUACGGUAGAGGGGGAUGGAAUUCCGCGUGUAGCAGUGAAAUGCGUAGAUAUGUGGAGGAACACCGAUGGCGAAGGCAGCCCCCUGGGUCAAGAUUGACGCUCAUGCACGAAAGCGUGGGGAGCAAACA
rnacentral:rRNA from 1 species